UAUUCAUUCAUAAAAAGCCGACGUCAACGACACAUCAAAUAUUUUAUUCAUUAAUGCAUCAAAUUAUUACAAAAUAACAGAAACCUUCAACUCUGAAGAAAACUAGAAAACAAAAAGAUUACAAAAAUACAGAAAAAAAUAAAUUCAGCAGAAAGGAAAAAUUACUUGCCAUUUCCUCAAAAACAUCCGUCGGCAAAACUCGGGCCUGACCCGGCAACAGAGUCGCUUUCGGAUCAGACCGUCAAAAAAACCGGAAGCUUCGGGAAAAGUCACAUAAUCCGUCCGGUCUGCGGCGGUAUAAAAAGAACGUACAAAACGUCAGCAUAGAAACGAGAGCAGGCGGAAAGGGGAGGAGUCAUCCCUACCAGCCAAUCAGAUUCCAAUGCAAGUGAUCGGCGAUCUGAUUGGCAGCUAUGGAUGGCCCCUCCCCUUUGCUCUGCACUAGUGUUUAUUUUUAAUAAAUGAGGUUGUUUUUGCGUAUUUGUUGUGUUAUGUGCUUUUAAUAAAGUUUUAUCUUACACAACUUCCUUUAUAUAUUCUUAAAGGAGCCCUCAUUUGAUACAUAGGUGGACAUUUCUGAGACACUAUUUUACUUCCUUUCACCACGCGUGGAUUUGCAUAUGCCCCGCCCCUAUUAAAGGGCCGGUUAACGGAUACAUAUUUGAUUCGCAGGGCAUGAUCGCUCGUGUUUUCUCUCACGAGUGUCCAGCUAUCAACGCAAAGCCUAAUGCAAUUGCAUAAAUAUUAGCACCCCGGCAUGGCCAUGUUGGUCAUGGCAACCAAUCAGAACCCAUUUUUACUUGGCACUGGAAAAAGUGAACCCUGAUUGGUUGUUAUGGGCAACAAGGACGCUACUUCCGAGGGGGCACAUGAGGAUGAACAUGCAAGAGAAGUUGCAAAAGUUUUCCAUCCCAAAAAUUAUAUAUAAAGACUAUUUUUUUUAAAUUAUAAUGGUAAUAUAGAUAAUACCUAUAAGAGGCUAAUAAUAGAAGUCCUUUAAUCCGGCAUCACUUGGACCUGGCGGGUGCUGAAUGAUGAAAUAUUCUGGAUUAUCAGAUGGAUAAGUAGGGCGCAUUCACAUGUAGGGGAGUUGAGCCACUGCCCUAAACUCAGGAUUUCUGGACCAUCAGAUGGCGGAGUAAAGGGUUUCAUUGUAUAUUACGGCCCAGUUCCCUCAGUUAUAGUUUAAUCUCUGUCCGGUUAACCCUUAGCCUUCUGGAUAACACAACAUGGCUGAAAAUGUCUAGUAAAAUAAUACAAUUCUAACACUGUCAAAAUAGGCAAAAUAGAAAAAUAGUGAAACUGUCUAAAUAUACAGUACAUAGAAAAAAAAAAUCUGGACCCAUCCUAUCAUUGGACGGAUCCUAUCUCUGCAUAGCAACACUUAAGUCCAUACAUUCUAACAAUGCACAAUGUAACACAUGACUUACAGUAAGAUGUGGCGGAACAUAUGGUGGAGGGCGGAGUUAACAGGUGGAAUUGUAGGCGAGUUUCUUGUGCAUGCUUACAGGGCUGGGAGGUGACUAUUAAAGGGGUUGUCCGUUUCAUAUGGCUCCUGGGGUAACUCAGGAAUCCACUCUCCAUUGGCUAAAGCUCACACUCUUCCAAAUUAAGGGACCCCUCUGUUCUACAAAGUGAAUGCAGUUUAAAAAAGACUUGUCUAACUCCUCAUGGGUGGGGCAUGACACAGGAAUGUCAUACUCCACUCCCUCAGUCCAUAUACUAGGCAUAAUAUGGGGAUCUACAAAGAGAAGUCAGUUUAAAUAAAUUUGUAUAAAUUCCUCAUGGGCAGGACAUAACACAGGCAUGGUCAUGCUCCACUCCUCAGUCCAUAUACUAAGUAUAACACAGGGUUCUACAAAGGGGAAGUGGUUUAAAUAGAUUUGUAUAAACUCCUCAUGGGUGGAGCAUGAUACAGAAAUUAUGUUAUGCUCCACCCCUUCAGUGCACAUACUAGGUAUAAUCCAAAGUGUCCCUUUAAGGGUUAUCCUACUAAGGACAUGCCAUAAAAGUGUAAUUGUCAGGGUCCAACUACUCAGACUUUCACAUAACCGCAGAGAGGGCCCCAUUACCGAUCACUUGCCAUGAUGAGAUUCUCCUAAUAUUUCCAGUGCUUAACAAACCGCCCCCGCAUUACUUAUUAUACAUCUGACGUCACCUCCCAGUUCCCUAAUCCAUGUACAUUAUUACAGACCUCACAUACUUCGACCAUAUCACGGGACGGCCCGCCCAAAAAGUUUAUAUAAAAAAAUAAAAAAAACACAAGCAGGAGAGACAAAGUUUCCCCUUCCUGAAUCUGAACUGCGCAAAAUAAAAUCAGGUCCAACCCAUUAGCAGUAAAUUUAGGGUUAAACCAUCAUAUAGCGCAGGACGUCCGGGACAACAGGCAAUCUUCUGUCUCCACUGCUGUAGGAUGCAAAAAUGUGGCACGUAGAAGAAUACAUAUUUGCAGAGUUAUUCGUGGAUGCAUAGUUUAUAGGUAUUUCCUCCCAGCAGUUCCCAUAAUGGGCUUUAAAAUAGCUUUUACCAUAUGCUCCUCCCCUCGGUGGGCACUUAAAGGGAACCUGUCCCCGGGAAAUUCACUAAUAGACUAGACAUAAUUCAUUGUAGGGCUAGCUCAGCUGAAUGUAAUGAUACCUUUCACUUAGAGAUCUGUUACUUCAUUUUGGACAAAAAGUACUUAUAAUCCAUAUGCAAAUGAGCAGUUAAUUGCCCUGAGGGCGGGCUCAAACCACUUUGUGCCUUGAACCUCCUGUCUCCCACUUCCUUUGCCAGCCCCUCCCUCACCUCGGGCUUCUACAUAGCCAUCUUGACCUGUCAAUCAAGAAGUAGGGGGAGGGGCUGGCAGAGGAAGCAGGAGGAGCUUGUGCCCGCUCCUCGGGGCACUUACCUGCUCAAUUUUCUCCAGAUUGAAGCAUCAGAUCGCUAAGUGAAAGCGAUCAUUACAUUCAGCUGAGCUAGCCCUACAAUGCAUUAUGUCUAGUCUAUUAGUGAAUUUCCCAGGGACAGGUUCCCUUUAAGGGGGUGUCCAGGAUAUUAAAAAAAAUAAUUAAAAAUACUAAAAGGAGAAAAUAGGUAAGAAUUAAAUUACCUGGUAAAUUUGCCGCUGCUCCAGUGGUCCUACCGGUCUUUGUUGACUCAUCCUGCAGUGUUGAUGUGCUGUACGUGUGACCAGUGCAUCCAAUCAAUGGCCUCAUCGGUACCAAGCCGGAGGACAACGAUUGUCUGUAGCGGUCAAGUGCAAAUGUACGCUAUGUCAUGAGUGUAGGACAAGUGAACACAGACUGGUGGGAUCACAAAUGUGGCAUCGGAUUUACCAAGUGAGUAUAGAUCUAUUCUUUAUUUUACCGAAUUCCCUACUUUUGGCAAUUGGGGAAACCCCUUCAUACAUUCAGCAGAUCCCCCCCCUUCCCCCCAAAAAA